CCUUGGAGAAAGGAGGUCUGAUGCCAAGGCCCUGACCAACCCUGUGACUCUUGUUGGCAGGGAGCUUGGCACAGGCUUCUGCUGAGGCAGAAAGCAAAGAGCACUGGCUGCUGCACGCCACUUCAAUCACCUGUGCUGACUCCCGCAGCGACGGCAAGGAAUGUGGACAGUCCCGGGGAAUGUCUAAUCUGCAAUGGCUCAUCGCAGAGCGGAAGCUGAGAGCUGGAAUGUCAACGACCCGAUGGGAAUGAUCUCACUUCCAGGACCCCCCUCCAAGUGGCUGAUGCCAUCUCAGCCCACGAGAUCGUCAGCGGGUGAGGUUGUCAUGGGCAGGUUUGGAGGAUCCUGUCUGAGUUGGGGAGACACCUUCUUCCCACUUUCCAAUGGUGGAGAGCUACACCUCACCCUGCCCUGAACCAUGACUGGGACACUUUAAAAAAAAAAAAGGUAUUUGUUCAGUGCUCACUAUAUGCCAGACACUGUUCUAAGCACUGAGGUAGAUAAAAGCUAAUCAGUUUGGACACAAUUCCUGACCCACAUGGGGCUCACAGUUUUAAUCCCCAUUUUCCAGAUGAGGGAACUGAGGUACAGGGAAGUGAAGUGACUUGGCCAAGGUCACACAGCAGACAAGUGGCAAAGUCAGGAUUAGAACCCAGGCCUUUCUGACUCCCAGCUCCAUGCUCUAUUCCUAGGCCACACUGCUUCACUUCUACUGCUGGUUAAUGUGCAGGAGCAAAGAGGAGACGCAUAAAGGGCAGAGGGUUGGAGGGGCAUAGAAGGAACUCAUUGGCAUUAGCACCCUCCCCCUUCUUCCCCAAUCACCAGUUCUGCUCACCUCAGAACCCAAAUGGUAGUAACUGGGUAGGGAGAGGGCACGAGUGUCAGAGGAAGGGGACACUUACUUAUUUGGGGCAGGAGCUCAGUUGUGCUCCUAUGUGACCUGCUGAGAAGUCUAGAGAAGGUCAAAACCCCUCCUCCACCCCAUCCAGAGCCUACGUGCAAAGAAACACUCCCCUCUCCCCCUCCCUGCCCCAGUGGAAUGUGUGUUGUGCUCUUCUGGCCAUAAAGCUGCCGGAAAGGAGGAGAGACAAGACAGUUCCCUCUCUGGACAGAAGGGAGGGUGUUUCCUGGCUCUGUUUCUCCCAUUGCCACAACCCUGAAACGUUAACUGGAAUUCCACCAUCCAGACUCUCCAGUUAUCACAUAAGUCCUGGAAAGACUGUGUGCAUGGCCCAGCAGUCACCCCCUCUGGCUGAAGGAGCCAAGUGGAGAUCAAACACCUCCUGUCGUGAAAUUCUUCCCAUUCCCACCUGACCCUCUGGACUCUGGAUGAGAGGAGGCAUGGCGGAGGCCUUGGGGUCCCAAGGAACUCUCAC
rnacentral:lncRNA from 1 species